GACGGAGGAUGCAAGUGUUAUCCGGAAUCACUGGGCGUAAAGCGUCUGUAGGUGGUCAAAUAAGUCAACUGUUAAAUCUUGAGGCUCAACCUCAAAAUCGCAGUCGAAACUAUUAGACUAGAGUAUAGUAGGGGUAAAGGGAAUUUCAAGUGGAGCGGUGAAAUGCGUAGAGAUUGGAAAGAACACCGAUGGCGAAGGCACUUUACUGGGCUAUUACUAACACUGAGAGAAGAAAGCUAGGGUAGCAAAUGGG
rnacentral:rRNA from 1 species